UAGGGAAUCUUCCACAAUGGACGCAAGUCUGAUGGAGCAACGCCGCGUGAGUGAAGAAGGGUUUCGGCUCGUAAAGCUCUGUUGUUAAAGAAGAACGUGGGUAAGAGUAACUGUUUACCCAGUGACGGUAUUUAACCAGAAAGCCACGGCUAACCACGUGCCAG
rnacentral:rRNA from 1 species